UAGGGAAUUUUCGUUCAAUGGGCGCAAGCCUGAACGAGCAAUGCCGCGUGAGUGAGGAAGGCCUUCGGUCGUAAAGCUCUGUUGCGAGGGAAAAGGAACGGAAGAGGAAAUGAUUCCGUUUGAUGGUACCUCGCCA
rnacentral:rRNA from 1 species